GGGGCGUUAGCUCAGUUGGUAGAGCAGCGGACUCUUAAUCCGUAGGUCGUGUGUUCGAGUCACACACGCCCCACCA
rnacentral:tRNA from 1 species